GCCGAGGUGGCGGAAUCGGCAGACGCAACGGACUUAAAAUCCGUUGAGGCGUAAGCCUCGUGCGGGUUCAAUUCCCGCCCUCGGCACCA
rnacentral:tRNA from 3 species